rnacentral:rRNA from 1 species
AGUGAACGCUGGCGGUAGGCCUAACACAUGCAAGUCGAACGGCAGCACAGUAAGAGCUUGCUCUUACGGGUGGCGAGUGGCGGACGGGUGAGGAAUACAUCGGAAUCUACUUUUUCGUGGGGGAUAACGUAGGGAAACUUACGCUAAUACCGCAUACGACCUACGGGUGAAAGCAGGGGAUCUUCGGACCUUGCGCGAUUGAAUGAGCCGAUGUCGGAUUAGCUAGUUGGCGGGGUAAAGGCCCACCAAGGCGACGAUCCGUAGCUGGUCUGAGAGGAUGAUCGGCCACACUGGAACUGAGACACGGUCCAGACUCCUACGGGAGGCAGCAGUGGGGAAUAUUGCGCAAUGGGCGCAAGCCUGAUCCAGCCAUACCGCGUGGGUGAAGAAGGCCUUCGGGUUGUAAAGCUCUUUUGUUGGGAAAGAAAAACAGCAGAUGAAUACCCCGCUGUUCUGACGGUACCCAAUGAAUAAGCACCGGCUAACUUCGUG